GUGCGUGCUAGGCGGGCGGCGGCGGCGGGGAGGGGGACGGGCGACAGGCAUCGCUUCUCGGCCUUUUGGCUAAGAUCAAGUGUAGUAUCUGUUCUUAUCAGUUUAAUAUCUGAUACGUCCUCUAUCCGAGGACAAAAUAUUAAGUGGAUUUUUGGAGCAGGGAGAUGGAAUAGGAGCUUGCUCCGUCCACUCCGCGCAUCGACCUGGUAUUGCAGUACCUCCAGGAACGGUGCACCUUCUCUCCCUAUUAUUCGUGUACUAAGUAUAGACUGCAGCCUCCCGGUUCUCACUUCUUUUUCCAGGCUGGCUUUUAUUUCGUUUGCACGUGUAGCUUUUUUUCCCUUUGCUUUCUGCUACUUGUGUAAACGGCCUGCGUCCUUCCGCGCUUCUCUGUUUUUCCUCGUCGUUCCCGCGAGAUUUCGCGUUUCUUUGCGACGCCGCGUCCGGGGCCGGUGAGUAGAUCACGCUGCCUCCGCCGGCGCUCGCUUUUCCCAGGCUGCGGUUUGGCUGCUCUUGGCUCUCGCGUUCUUUAACCAAGUAACGGGCGAGUGUCUCCGGUACCCAUUCGUACUGGGUGUCGUUGGCGGCCGAGAGACUGAAAUUGCGUGAGCUCCUGUAAUCGCCGCAACCCCAAAUCCGGACAUCGGUAUCCUCCGACGGGGGGAGGCGGUGUCUCCGGGGAACACACUUGAGUGACUGGCAGGGCCAAGGCUGCAGCUGGCUCGGAGGCUCCACGCCCCUCGCCGUUCAAGCCCGCCUGUCAGGAGGUUUUGAAGGUCUAAAUACGUGAAUCCGGCGACAUCCUCCAAAUGCCAUGAACUGCUCAUGGACCGUCAGGCCCAGCCCCGUGAAAUACUGCUUCCCGAUUGCAAAUGCAUCACUGAUAGGUUCUAGCUUAUCCCUACUUCUGGUUCUUCUUGCACUUACAUGGUCAAAACACAAUAGUCGAG
rnacentral:lncRNA from 1 species